UGCGAGUCAUUGUAGCAAUACAAGGCAGACGGCUCAGUAACGCGUAGUCAAUCUACCCUAUGGACGGGAAUAACCUCGGGAAACUGAGAAUAAUGCCCGACAGAACAUUAUACCUGGAACGGUUUAUGUUUCAAAUGAUUUAUCGCCGUAGGAUGGGACUGCGGCCUAUCAGUUUGUUGGUGAGGUAAUGGCCCACCAAGACUAUUACAGGUACGGGCUCUGAGAGGAGUAGCCCGGAGAUGGGUACUGAGACACGGACCCAGGCCCUAUGGGGCGCAGCAGGCGAGAAAACUUUGCAAUGUGCGAAAGCACGACAAGGUUAAUCCGAGUGGUUUCUGCUAAAGAAACCUUUUGCUAGUCCUAGAAACACUAGUGAAUAAGGGGUGGGCAAGUUCUGGUGUCAGCCGCCGCGGUAAAACCAGCACCUCAAGUGGUCAGGAUGAUUAUUGGGCCUAAAGCAUCCGUAGCUCGUUUUGUAAGUUUUCGGUUAAAUCCAUACGCUUAACGUAUGGGCUGCCGGGAAUACUGCAUAACUAGGAAGUGGGAGAGGUAGACGGUACUCGGUAGGAAGGGGUAAAAUCCUUUGAUCUAUUGAUGACCACCUGUGGCGAAGGCGGUCUACCAGAACACGUUCGACGGUGAGGGAUGAAAGCUGGGGGAGCAAACCGGAUUAGAUACCCGGGUAGUCCCAGCUGUAAACUAUGCAAACUCAGUGAUGCAUUGGCUUGUGGCCAAUGCAGUGCUGCAGGGAAGCCGUUAAGUUUGCCGCCUGGGAAGUACGUACGCAAGUAUGAAACUUAAAGGAAUUGGCGGGGGAGCACCACAAGGGGUGAAGCCUGCGGU
rnacentral:rRNA from 1 species